rnacentral:rRNA from 1 species
CGGGCGGGUCGCUGCUAUACUGCAGUCGAGCGAACUGAUUAGGAAGCUAUGCCUUCUACGCACGUUCAGCGGCGGACACGGUGAAGUAACAUGUGGGCAACCUGCCUGUAAGAGUCGGAUAACUCCGGAAAACCGGAUCUAAUACCGGAUAACAUAUUCUCUUGCAAAGGAAAAAAUUGAAAGAUGGUUUCGGCUAUCACUUACAGAUGGGCCCGCGGUGCAUUAGCUAGUUGGUGAGGUAACGGCUCACCAGGGCAACGAUGCAUACCCGACCUGAGAGGGUGAUCGGCCACACUGGGACUGACGACACGGCCCACACUCCUACGGGAGGCAGCAAUAGGGAAUCCUCCGCAAUGGACGAAAGUCUGACGGAACAACGCCGCGUGAGUGAUGAAGGCUUUCGGGUCGUAAAACUCUGUUGUUAGGAAAAAACAAGUACAAGAGUAACUGCUUGCACCUUGACGGUACCUAACCAGAAAGCCACGGCUAACUACGUGCCCAGCAGCCGCGGUAAUACAUAGGUGGCAAGCGUUAUCCAAGAAUUAUUGGGCGUAAAGCGCGCGCACGCGGUUUCUUAACUCUGAUGUGAAACCCCACGGCUCAACCGUGGAGGGGUCAUUGGAAACUGGGGGAACUUGAGUGCAAAAAAAAAAAGAAAGAAUUCCACCGUGUAGCGGUGAAAUGCACAGAGAUGUGGAGGAACACCAGCUGCGCGAAGGCGAAGUCUUUUUGGUUCUCUAACUGACGCCCUGAGGCCCGAAAGUCGUGGGAACCAAACAGAGAUGAGACACCCGGGUAGUUCUCAUCACACGUAAAAAAAAGAGCGCUAAGUGCGCUAGAGGGUUUCCGCCAUACUUUCAGUGAGAGCAGCUAACCGCAUUAAGCACUACCGCCUGGGGAGCUAGCAGGGUAGCAAGACGUGAAACUUUCAAAGGAAUAUGUACGGGCGCCCGCACAACCAGGUGGAGUCAUGUACGUUAUAAUCCGAAGCAACGCGACAGAGUACUCUGACCAGGACGCGUUGACAUCACCUCACAAGCGUGCUAGAGAUAGAGCGUUCCCAUGCGGAGGAUCACAGUGACAGGUGCUGCAUCGUAGAUCGUCAGAUCGUGUCGUGAGCCAUAGUUGGCGUUAAGUCACCGCAACGAGCGCAACCGCUAUGCAUCGUUAGCUUGCCGAGCAGUUACUAGCGCACUACUAAGGUGACACGCCGGUGACAAACCGGAGAGAUAGGCGGGGAUGACGUCAAAUCAUCAUGCCCCUUCCAUGACCUAGGCUACACGACGUGCUACAAUGGAUCGAGUAUGCAAAGGGCUGCAAGACCGCGAGGUCAAGACCAAUGCUCCAUAAAACCAUUCUCAGUUCGGAUUGUAGGCUGCAACUCGCCUACAUGAAGCUGGAAUCGCUAGUAAUCGCGGAUCAGCAUGCCGCAGACACAGAC